ACCUCGAAGGCUUAUCGCGGUGGGGAAAGAUCCAGCACAACAGUCCUAAAGGGUAUUUCCAUGGUGGAGGAUGCUCUGGCGGUGCAGCUGUGGGAACAUCAGGUAUUUUCAGAGGGUGUGAGGAGGGAGAUGGCAACUCCACCUCUUCGUCUCAGUGUCUGUCAAUGAGAGCCCACCUUGAGAGCCCCACGCUCUCAGCAGGCUCACCAGGCUGUUAGUAACCGGUAGAGAAAAGGAGGAGCACAGACAGAAGCUUCCUGCCCAGAGUCACCCAGGACGGCCCCCGCCCAAGGAUGGACCCCAGCCUGGAACUGGCUCCAGAAGCAAAGGUCAUUUCAGGUGUUCAAAGACCCCCUGAAGCCCCACCUAAGGGUCCUGUUAAGAACCUCUGCUCUGGAGAAUAUUAAAAUGUUGAGCCUCUGUUUUCUAAACUGUGAAGAGGAUAUAGCACUCACUCCCAGCCAGCUUCGUGGAAGAGAAGGAAGAGGCUACAUAGACCUGUGCUGUUAAAACAUAUUGGUUCUCUGCCUGGCAGACAUGUAAUAUUGAUGCAGUUCUAUUACCAU
ensembl:lncRNA novel transcript